GCGUAUAUUAAAGUUGUUGCGGUAAAAAAGCUCGUAGUUGGAUUUCUGUCGAGGACAGCCGGUCACGAUUUUGUCGUUGCAUCUGGUUUGGCCUUGGCAUCCUCUUGGGGAACAUUUCUGCGCUUCAUUGCGUGGAGUGGUAUUCAAGACUUUUACUUUGAGGAAAUUAGAGUGUUCACGGCAGGCAAUCGCCUUGAAUAUACUAGCAUGGAAUAAUGAUAUAGGACCUUGGUUCUAUUUUGUUGGUUUCUAGGACUAAGGUAAUGAUUAAUAGGGACAAUUGGGGGCAUUCGUAUUAACGCGUCAGAGGUGGAAUUCUUAGAUUGCGUUACGACGAACUACUGCGAAAGCAUUUGCCAAGGAUGUUUUCAUUGAUCAAGAACGAAAGUAAGGGGAUCGAAGACGAUUAGAUACCGUCGUAGUCUUUACCAUAAACUAUGCCGAUUAGGAAUCGCUCAUCGCUCUUUUAUUGGCCUUGAGCGGCGCCUUAUGAGAUAUCAAAAUUUUUGGGUUCCGGGGGGAGUAUGGUCGCAAGUCUGAAACUUAAAGGAAUUGACGGAAGGGCACCAUCCAUGA
rnacentral:rRNA from 1 species